rnacentral:lncRNA from 1 species
GAAGAAGUGUGUUAAAAUGAAAUCAAUCUGGUUGUUUUCAACAGAAAAUCCACUAAUCAUUAUUGUGUGAAGCAUACCUCCUCUAAGAGGAAAUAUUCAUUAGAAGCUAGUCAACACCUCCUGUGGUUACUUAUUCCCUCCCCUUGAAGAUUGCAGGUGAGAAUCUUCUAGUUCCAAAAGGUAAGGAACUCCUAAAUCACUAACAAAACUUUACAGUGAUGGAG